UUGCGUCACUGCGUCGCGUCAUCGCGACGACGUCAUCACGACGCGACGGUGCCGCACGCCAUCCGCGGACCUCGGAGCCUUUGCAGGAGGCUUUGCUGGGGUCCAAGCGGCUGCGGUGAGAACGGGGGAGACGCUGUGGCGGCCAUGCAGCCAGAGAUCUUUUGGCGGCCAGUCGAGGCGGCUCAGGCCCGUCAUCCCAGCACUUUGGGAGGCGGAGGUGGGCGGAUCACCCGAGGUCAGGAGUUCGAGACCAGCCCGACCAACAUGGAGAAAUUCCGUCUGUAUUAAGAAAAAAAGAUUAACGGGGAGCACACCUGACGGACAGAAAGAGGGUGGAUGAGAUACACGCAGGGAACAGAGACAGGUGACAGGUGUGAUGUUCCCUGCCUGUGGUCCCAGCACUUUGGGAGGCUGAUGCGGGCGGAUCCCCUGAUGUCGGGAGUUCGAGACCAGCCUGGCCAACAUGUUGGGGUCUUGCUGUGCUGCCCAGGCUGGACCGCAGUGGCGUGAUCUUGGCUCCCCGCAGCCUCCACCCUCUGGGUUCAGCCGAUUCUCCUGCGUCAGCCUCCCAAGUAGCUCUUGAGAAAUGUAAUUAAAUAAAAGCAAAAAUAGUAAAAAUGAAA